ensembl:lncRNA
UAAUGAAAAUUGCUUGAUUUCUUUCUUAUCUUCCCAUUUGGCUUGUGCUGUCAAAGACAGGCAGCUGAAGCAGCCCUGCUACGUUGCUCUCCGCUCUGUAGCGAAGCUCUCGAGACCUUGGCAGAGGUCAGUGCUCAGCACUGAGUGCUGCACAUGCAUUUCCUAGCUGAGCUACAGGGCCUUCACCAUUACCUUCUCCCUCCCUCUUUCUGCCUUCCUCAUUUCCACCACUCACAUCCCCAGAGUGGCAUCCCCAUACAUCUCCGUCUCCUCCAUCCACGUGCCAGACGAAUGAGCCAGGAUGGCAUUGAGACAUUCUGCAGAGGAUGCAUGUCUGGCUGCAGUCCCAUGGCAGGGAGCUCCCCUGGCUCGUUCCUGAUGCCAACUUCGCCGUCGUCGUGGGAACGCUCAGCCCCACCGGCUCAAGAUCCACUUGACAUCUGGAUCGUAGCCACUCUUCCUGUGGAGGGGCAGGAGGAAGAUUUGUACUGUUUUGUGAGUAAGAACACCUGAAACACAAACAGACACCAAGAUUCGUUUUGGAAAUAACAGAACUGUCAUCUUCCAAGAUGCAGCCUCCCGACCAUUGGGAAGCGCUAUCUUACCCAUCCAUCCAUAAUCUGCUGAAUCCAUUCAAUUUUGCUUGCACGUUUAAGAAGAAGACAAAGGAGAGUCUGCACCUGCAGACCACUCCCUGUCCUCUUGAACUGUCAACA